UACGUAGGGUGCAAGCGUUGUCCGGAAUUAUUGGGCGUAAAGAGCUCGUAGGCGGUUUGUCGCGUCUGCUGUGAAAACUCAGGGCUUAACCCUGAGCCUGCAGUGGGUACGGGCAGACUAGAGUCUGGUAGGGGGAUCUGGAAUUCCUGGUGUAGCGGUGGAAUGCGCAGAUAUCAGGAGGAACACCGGUGGCGAAGGCGGGAUCCUGGGCCAGUACUGACGCUGAGGAGCGAAAGCGUGGGGAGCAAACAGG
rnacentral:rRNA from 1 species